AUGCGGCACCGCUCGACGGUGCCGAGAGGUCGCCAUGUUGAUGAUCUGAAGGGCACAAACAUGGCAGUGCGCAACAAGAGCAGCGAGAAGAUCAACACUGAUAGGGCGCUCAGUAAGACGGGGUUCAGGUCAGACAAGAGGUCGUGCAGGCCAGCCCUCCCUGAGAUGCCAGAUGAGCUUGUUUUGGAGAUCCUCCUCCGUCUCCCAGUGAAAUCACUCCUGAAGUUCAAGUGUGUUUGCAAGGACUGGCACGCCAUCAUCUCAGGCCCUUCCUUCAUCCGGAUGCACCUUGAGCGCUCCGUGUCCAACCAGCAGCGGCAAUCCUGCUACCUCAUCACCCCGCAUUUGUUGGAUUAUGCCAGUGAUGAUUUAUGGCCAAAUACAUUCUCAAACAACAUACGCUUCUACAGAUGGCAGCACGAGAGUUGUCAAGCCAGCGCCAGUCUAGUGUAUGCAAGGAACUUUCAAAGGGAGUUUGGAUCAGUCUACAGGUUUGCACAUUGCGACGGCCUUGUGCUGCUGCCCACGGAUAAUAAGAUGUACGUUGUCAACCCCGCCACAAGGGACCUGCUUACUUUGCCCGAGAGCCCCCGGCGUAUGCUCGAGCCAUCCUCCUUCUACCGUGGGAAUGUUGGUUUCGGUCGUGACCCUUGCACAAACAAGUACAAGGUAGUUCAGUGCUUUCGCCAUUCCACGGAUAAUGGCCUAGGGAGCUACAGCACUGGAAUGGAGGUUUUUACAAUAGGAAGCAACAUGAACAGCGGUUCUGCAGCAUGGAGGGACGCCAUGCCACCAUACCCCGUUGGUAACUGGAAAAACGCGACUUUCUUCAAGGGGUCUCUGUUCUGGAUCCUCCGCAAGCUCCGUCAGAGGGAACCCCCGGAGACCCGUCUACUUCGGUUCUGCCUGCAGGCCGAAACGUUUAGCUUCACCCCGCACCCUCCGUGCCCUGCGCUUGACCACCAGAACUUUGCCAUGAGUGCACUAGAGGGUGAACUGUGCCUUGCUCAAUAUGAAUCUUCACAACGGGUCGUGAUCUGGAUGACGAGCGAUGGCGAGGAUCCGAAAUGGAACCGGCGAUACAUCGUUGAUGUGGAGCCAUGCGUCACAAUAGCUAUCUCGCAGUCUGGACUUCAAGAGAGUGAACCAUAUGAUCUCACGGUACAACUUCCAGGAUCAGAGCGUGGAGGAUGUGGCUGGGUUGGAAGCUCUGAGGUACCAUGGACCCGGGGCGCGCACUGUGGAGUACAAGGGACCAAACAUGUUCUUCUUCGAUGUGAUUCCUUACACAGAAAGUCUCGUUCCCCUACACAAUGCAAGAUGAAGUGCGGCGCUCAAUUUAUGUAA
rnacentral:rRNA from 1 species